UACAGAGGGGGCAAGCGUUGUUCGGAAUUACUGGGCGUAAAGGGCGCGUAGGCGGCCGCCUAAGUCAGACGUGAAAUCCCUCGGCUCAACCGGGGAACUGCGUCUGAUACUGGGUGGCUUGAAUCCGGGAGAGGGAUGCGGAAUUCCAGGUGUAGCGGUGAAAUGCGUAGAUAUCUGGAGGAACACCGGUGGCGAAGGCGCCCACCUGGCCUGCUACUGACGCUGAAGCUCGAAAGCUAGGGGAGCAAACGGG
rnacentral:rRNA from 1 species